rnacentral:rRNA from 1 species
UACGAAGGGUGCAAACGUUGCUCGGAAUCACUGGGCUUAAAGCGUGUGUAGGCGGAUCGUUAAGUACCUUGUGAAAUCCCACGGCUCAACCGUGGAACUGCUGGGUAUACUGGCGAUCUUGAGCCACCUAGGGGCAACUGGAACAAGCGGUGGAGCGGUGAAAUGCGUAGAUAUCGCUUGGAACGCCAACGGUGAAAACAGGUUGCUGGGGGUGUGCUGACGCUGAGACACGAAAGCCAGGGGAGCGAACGGG